GACGAACGCUGGCGGCGUGCUUAACACAUGCAAGUCGAACGGAAAGGCCCUGCUUUUGUGGGGUGCUCGAGUGGCGAACGGGUGAGUAACACGUGAGUAACCUGCCCUUGACUUUGGGAUAACUUCAGGAAACUGGGGCUAAUACCGGAUAGGAGCUCCUGCUGCAUGGUGGGGGUUGGAAAGUUUCGGCGGGUGGGGAUGGACUCGCGGCUUAUCAGCUUGUUGGUUGGGUAGUGGCUUACCAAGGCUUUGACGGGUAGCCGGCCUGAGAGGGUGACCGGCCACAUUGGGACUGAGAUACGGACCAGAGUCCUACGGGAGGCAGCAGUGGGGAAUAUUGCACAAUGGGCGGAAGCCUGAUGCAGCAACGCCGCGUGCGGGAUGACGGCCUUCGGGUUGUAAACCGCUUUCGCCUGUGACGAAGCGUGAGUGACGGUAAUGGGUAAAGAAGCACCGGCUAACUACGUG
rnacentral:rRNA from 1 species